ensembl:processed_transcript
GUACUUGCUGUUUAUUUCUUAUCCGCCCACAAGGCGUCUGUUUCUGCUGAGGAAAAAUGAUGGCUGCGUAUUCCACUCCAUCCUGCUCGUUUGAAGUCGAUUCGGCAGCUUUUCCUCUGUCAUCUCUCUGAGGUCUGCUUUGAAAGUCUAAUUCUCCGUACUCCACACAGCUGACAACCACAGGGCUGGAUCUCCCACACUGCCCCUGCAAACGUCACAUGCCAAGAAGAAGAACGGGAUCUGAAAGAUGUGGAAAGUGGCAGCUCUUCCUCUAUUUGCAUGCGUCUAUAUUUGAAAUAAUCAACUUGAGUGUGCAUAAGAUGUGAUAUGUGAAUGCCCCAUAUGUCUUCUUCUUUAAACAAAAAUGACGUUGAUUGCAACUUUUUGGUCUACUAAGCAAGGGUCCACUGUUCAACCAAUGUUCACU